rnacentral:rRNA from 1 species
AUGCUUCAUCUUUUUAGUGUCUUUCGUGAAAAUAAGGAUUCCGAUAAUUGUGCCAAAGUGUUAGAAGAGGAAUGUAUUAAAAUGUUUGGCACUAGAUCUUUGGAUGAUGAGCAUGAUUGCAAUGUUGUUAGUAUGAAUUCUUUGAAUAUCCAUGAUGCUAAUGAUAUGCAAAGCCACAAGCUUGGGGAUGUUAUGUUUGAUGAAGAUGAUAUUUUUUGUCCCCCAAGUUUUGAUGAGCAAAUUUAUUAUGAUGAAAGCAUCCCUCCUAUCUGUGAUGAUUAUUGUGAUGACACACAUGCUAUAAAGAAUAAUGAUAUCCUUGAAACUUGUCAUCCUAAUUUUAACUUUCAAUUGGAUUAUGCCUCACAUGAUAGUUAUUUUGUUUAG